rnacentral:rRNA from 1 species
CGUGUAGGCGGUUUGUUAAGUCAGUUGUUAAAUCCCCCAGCUUAACUGGGGAGCAGCAAUUGAUACUGGCAGACUAGAGGUAGAGAGAGGGAAGUGGAAUUCUCGGAGUAGCGGUAAAAUGCGUAGAUCUCGAGAGGAACACCGAUAGCGAAGGCAGCUUCCUGGCUCUAUACUGACGCUGAGGCGCGAAAGCGUGGGGAGCAAACAGGAUUAGAUACCCUGGUAGUCC